rnacentral:rRNA from 1 species
AUUGAACGCUGGCGGCAUGCCUUACACAUGCAAGUCGAACGGCAGCACGGGAGCAAUCCUGGUGGCGAGUGGCGAACGGGUGAGUAAUAUAUCGGAACGUGCCCAGUCGUGGGGGAUAACGCAGCGAAAGCUGUGCUAAUACCGCAUACGAUCUACGGAUGAAAGCGGGGGAUGGCAAGACCUCGCGCGAUUGGAGCGGCCGAUAUCAGAUUAGCUAGUUGGUUGGGUAAAGGCCCACCAAGGCGACGAGCUGUAGCUGGUCUGAGAGGACGACCAGCCACACUGGAACUGAGGCACGGUCCAGACUCCUACGGGAGGCAGCAGUGGGGAAUUUUGGACAAUGGGCGCAAGCCUGAUCCAGCAAUGCCGCGUGCAGGAUGAAGGCCUUCGGGUUGUAAACUGCUUUUGUACGGAACGAAACGGCUCCUUCUAAUACAAGGGGCUAAUGACGGUACCGUAAGAAUAAGCACCGGCUAACUACGUGCCAGCCGCCGCGGUAAAAC